rnacentral:rRNA from 1 species
GAGUUUGAUCCUGGCUCAAGAUGAACGCUAGCGACAGGCUUAACACAUGCAAGUCGAGGGGCAGCGGUGGUGAAGGCUUGCCUUUACCAGCCGGCGACCGGCGCACGGGUGAGUAACACGUAUGCAACCUGCCUGCCACAGCCGGAUAAUCGGGAGAAAUUCCGUCUAAUACGGCAUAAUGCACCUAUGGGACAUCCUGUUGGUGCCAAAGGUUGAUUCCGGUGGCGGAUGGGCAUGCGUCGCAUUAGUUAGUUGGCGGUGUAACGGACCACCAAGACGACGAUGCGUAGGGGUUCUGAGAGGAAGGUCCCCCACACUGGUACUGAGACACGGACCAGACUCCUACGGGAGGCAGCAGUGAGGAAUAUUGGUCAAUGGGCGGGAGCCUGAACCAGCCAAGUCGCGUGAGGGAUGACGGCCCUAUGGGUUGUAAACCUCUUUUGCCGGGGAGCAAAGUGCCGCACGUGUGCGGUUUGGAGAGUACCCGGAGAAAAAGCAUCGGCUAACUCCGUGCCAGCAGCCGCGGUAAUACGGAGGAUGCGAGCGUUAUCCGGAUUUAUUGGGUUUAAAGGGUGCGUAGGCGGACGCUUAAGUCAGCGGUAAAAUUGCGGGGCUCAACCUCGUCGAGCCGUUGAAACUGGGUGCCUUGAGUGGGCGAGAAGUACGCGGAAUGCGUGGUGUAGCGGUGAAAUGCAUAGAUAUCACGCAGAACUCCGAUUGCGAAGGCAGCGUACCGGCGCCCAACUGACGCUGAAGCACGAAGGCGUGGGUAUCGAACAGGAUUAGAUACCCUGGUAGUCCACGCAGUAAACGAAUGAAUGCUAGUUUUUCCGGGGCGAUUGAGUUUUUGGGGGACACAGCGAAAGCGUUAAGCAUUCCACCUGGGGAGUACGCCGGCAACGGUGAAACUCAAAGGAAUUGACGGGGGCCCGCACAAGCGGAGGAACAUGUGGUUUAAUUCGAUGAUACGCGAGGAACCUUACCCGGGCUCAAACGCAGGAGGGAUGUUUUUGAAAGGAGGCAGCCAGCAAUGGUCUCCUGCGAGGUGCUGCAUGGUUGUCGUUAGCUCGUGCCGUGAGGUGUCGGCUUAAGUGCCAUAACGAGCGCAACCCCUACCUACAGUUGCCAUCGCGUGAUGGCGGGCACUCUGUGGGGACUGCCUGCGCAAGCAGUGAGGAAGGCGGGGAUGACGUCAAAUCAGCACGGCCCUUACGUCCGGGGCGACACACGUGUUACAAUGGCAGGUACAGCGGGAAGCCACCCGGCGACGGGGCGCGGAACCCGAAAACCUGUCUCAGUUCGAAUUGGAGUCUGCAACCCGACUCCAUGAAGCUGGAUUCGCUAGUAAUCGCGCAUCAGCCACGGCGCGGUGAAUACGUUCCCGGGCCUUGCACACACCGCCCGUCA